rnacentral:misc_RNA from 1 species
UAAAACAGGUACCGACAGAACUGCGAGAAAAGAUCAUUAAAUCUUAGAAUGUGCAGGUUAUGACUAACAUCUUUGUAAAUGCCAACUUAUAACAUAACAUUUAUUUUGCCUGAUGUUGGAUACUGGUAGUAUCUAUUGACCAAUAAGUUUUUCCGCCAUUUCCAUUAUGAUUCAAUAUUUCACUAAAUGGUAUCCUGAUACAAACAAAAAUGCUAACUCAUCCAUAAGAUACUACCAGUCAACAUGAUUGUACAUUUAAAAUCCUAAAAAUAAUGGUAAAGAUACAUCAGGCUGGAACAUGGAAAUAAAUGCGAGCCUCAAAUUUUACAGCCAAGCAUGCUACACAAAGCAGUGCCUCUGUUCAGCACAUCAGGAUUUCUAUCACUGACAUCCAAAAAGUGUUACUUUCAGAGCCAGUAGAACUACAUGUCGAUGGAUACAUUCGUAUCAUAAGAAUGGAAACAGGUUGUCGCAUUAAAAAAUACUGUAAUCAACAGGCACGACCCUACAGAUAUAGAGAGAUGAUUAAUGAGCUGAAAAGGUAA